GACGAACGCUGGCGGCGUGCUUAACACAUGCAAGUCGAACGGUGAAGCGCCUUCCUUUUUGGUGGGUGUGGAUGAGUGGCGAACGGGUGAGUAACACGUGAGUAACCUGCCCCCUUCUUCUGGAUAACCGCAUGAAAGUGUGGCUAAUACGGGAUAUUCUGGGUCUGUCGCAUGAUGGGUCUGGGAAAGAUAUUGUUUCGGUGGGGGAUGGGCUCGCGGCCUAUCAGCUUGUUGGUGGGGUGAUGGCCUACCAAGGCGGUGACGGGUAGCCGGCCUGGGAGGGUGGACGGUCACACUGGGACUGAGGCACGGCCCAGACUCCUACGGGAGGCAGCAGUGGGGAAUAGUGCACAAUGGGCGCAAGCCUGAUGCAGCGACGCCGCGUGAGGGAUGGAGGCCUGCGGGUUGUGAACCUCUUUCGCCAGUGAAGCAGGCCUGCCUCGUUUGUGGGUGGGUUGACGGUAGCUGGAUAAGAAGCGCCGGCUAACUACGUG
rnacentral:rRNA from 1 species